UACGUAGGGUCCGAGCGUUGUCCGGAAUUACUGGGCGUAAAGAGCUCGUAGGUGGUUUGUCGCGUUGUUCGUGAAAAACUCACAGCUCAACUGUGGGCGUGCGGGCGAUACGGGCAGACUUGAGUACUGCAGGGGAGACUGGAAUUCCUGGUGUAGCGGUGGAAUGCGCAGAUAUCAGGAGGAACACCGGUGGCGAAGGCGGGUCUCUGGGCAGUAACUGACGCUGAGGAGCGAAAGCGUGGGGGAGCGAACAGG
rnacentral:rRNA from 1 species